UAGGGAAUCUUCGGCAAUGGGGGGAACCCUGACCGAGCAACGCCGCGUGAGUGAAGAAGGUUUUCGUAUCGUAAAGCUCUGUUGUUAAGGAAGAACGAGUGUGAGAAUGGAAAGUUCAUGCUGUGACGGUACUUAACCAGAAAGGGACGGCUAACUACGUGCCAGCAGCCGCGGUAAUACGUAGGUCCCGAGCGUUGUCCGGAUUUAUUGGGCGUAAAGCGAGCGCAGGCGGUCAAUUAAGUCUGAUGUGAAAGCCCCCGGCUCAACCGGGGAGGGUCAUUGGAAACUGGUUGACUUGAGUGCAGAAGAGGAGAGUGGAAUUCCAUGUGUAGCGGUGAAAUGCGUAGAUAUAUGGAGGAACACCAGUGGCGAAGGCGACUCUCUGGUCUGUAACUGACGCUGAGGUUCGAAAGCGUGGGUAGCAAACAGG
rnacentral:rRNA from 1 species